UACGUAGGGUGCAAGCGUUGUCCGGAAUUAUUGGGCGUAAAGAGCUCGUAGGCGGUCUGUCGCGUCUGCUGUGAAAACUCGGGGCUCAACCCCGAGCCUGCUUCCGAUACGGGCAGACUAGAGGUAUGCAGGGGAGAAUGGAAUUCCUGGUGUAGCGGUGAAAUGCGCAGAUAUCAGGAGGAACACCGGUGGCGAAGGCGGUUCUCUGGGCAUUACCUGACGCUGAGGAGCGAAAGUGUGGGGAGCGAACAGG
rnacentral:rRNA from 1 species